AUAUUGAUAACCAACAAUAUGUGUAAGUGUUAUGACGAUAGUGCUGAAAAACGGAAGAAUCAUGCUUCAAAUUGUUAUGAAUCUAAAGGCUACAUUAUGCAUGAUGCAACAAUGUAUUUUAUACUUCUUAUAAUAUAAUGAAUACGGUCAGCUGGACGUUUUAUGCACAUGGAAUGGUCUUUGGAAUUUGUCUGAUUAAUAUUUUUGGGCUAUUUAGGCGUUCAUUUGUUUUAUUGACUCAUUCAUUGAUUAAUUCGUUGAUGUAAUAAUUAAUUAAUUAAUUAAUUAAUUGGAUAAUUAAUUAAUUAAUUCAGUAAAUAUGCCUUCUACAAUGACCAAAGUCAUUAUAGACGGUAUUUCUCAUUAAUCUCACCCUGUUUUGUCAAGGGUGGUACCAAACAAAUGAUGAGGGACAUCUCGUUGGCAACGGUUGAGUACCAAGAUUGCUGUCUUAUCUCUGCAACAGUGACACCGCACGCCUUCCGGUGAGGUGUGUUGAAGGUUGAUUGAUAUACGUUUUCUCAGUAGGUCAAUAGUUAUGGAUAGGCCAGGUCUAUUGUUCAAGUCACAUGCUGCUGAACCUCUAUAAUCCUUACCACGUCGUGCGAUGUCACUCAGAUUUCCCUAAAAAUAGUGGCGCUGGUGAAACUACUGUGAAGGCUACUCUAACCUUGGUACCUCCACUUCUCUCGACCAGAGAGAUAAGAGGAAAGCGUCAAAGAUAGGUGUAUGGGCUAUUUGACCAAGAAGGAGAGUGAUGGAG